GGGGUUGUGGCUCAGUGGUAGAGCACUCGCCUAGCAUGUGUGAGGCCCUGGGUUCGAUCCUCAGCACCACA
rnacentral:tRNA from 1 species